AGGUGAAAUAAACAGCCAUGUAGCUCACACAACGCCUGUUUGGUGGUCUCUUCACACGGACGCACAUGAAAUUUGGUGCCCUGACUCGGAUCGGGGGACCUCCCUUGGGAGAUCAAUCCCCUGUCCUCCUGUUCUUUGCUCCCUGAGAAAGAUCCACCUAUGACUUCAGGUCCUCAGACUGACCAGCCCAAGGAACAUCUCACCAAUUUUAAAUCAGAACUGCAGGAUUCUCCAGGCUCAUCUUGUAUAUUUCAUGGCUCAGGCGCUGAAUCACCAUUUUCUCCAUGGAGCACUUGUACCUUGUAUUGGAGAAUAACAUCAGAAAUCAAGAUUUAGUUGUGUUCUCAAUUUCUUUAAAGUGUUUUCAGUUUUAAGUCGGAGCUUAAAUACUGAGUACACAUGGACACAAAGAAGGGAACAACAGACACAGAGGCCUGCUUGAGGGUGAAGAGCGAGAGGAGGAUGAGGAUCGAAAAACUACCUAUUGGGCACUAUGCUUAUUACUGGGUGACAAAAUAAUUUGUACACCAAACCCCCGUGACAUGGAAUUUACCUAUACAGCAAACCUUCCCAUGUAUUCCCAAACCUAAAAUAAAUGUUAAACAAAAA
rnacentral:lncRNA from 1 species